CGAAAUGCGAUACGUAAUGUGAAUUGCAGAAUUCCGUGAAUCAUCGAAUCUUUGAACGCACCUUGCG
rnacentral:rRNA from 2 species